UCCGAGUUAACCCCGGCAGUCCCCCACGAGUCCCCACCAUCACGUGCUGGCAACAUAGGGCAAGGGUUGCGCUCGUUGCGGGACUUAACCCAACAUCUCACGACACGAGCUGACGACAACCAUGCACCACCUGUCACACGCCCCCAAAGGGACCUGCCAUCUCUGACAGUUUUCGCAUGAUGUCAAGCCCAGGUAAGGUUCUUCGCGUUGCAUCGAAUUAAGCCGCAUGCUCCGCCGCUUGUGCGGGCCCCCGUCAAUUCCUUUGAGUUUUAACCUUGCGGCCGUACUCCCCAGGCGGGGCGCUUAAAGCGUUAGCGACGGCACAGAACCCAAAAAGGCCCCACACCUAGCGCCCACCGUUUACAGCGUGGACUAC
rnacentral:misc_RNA from 1 species